GACGAACGCUGGCGGCGUGCUUAACACAUGCAAGUCGAACGAAGUGGCGAACGGGUGAGUAAAGCGUAAUCAACCUGCCCUCCAGCGGGGGACAACAGUUGGAAACGACUGCUACUACCGCAUACUGAAGGAGGGGCUUGCGUCUGAUUAGCUAGUUGGCGGGGUAACGGCCCACCAAGGAGAUGAUCAGUAGCCGGUCUGAGAGGAGGAACGGCCACAAUGGGACUGAGACACGGCCCAGACUCCUACGGGAGGCAGCAGUGGGGAAUCUUCCGCAAUGGACGAAAGUCUGACGGAGCAACGCCGCGUGAGGGAUGACGGCCUUCGGGUUGGAAAGCUCUGUUAAUCGGGACGCGGUACCGGAAUAGAAAGCCACGGCUAACUACGUGCCAGCAGCCGCGGUAAUAC
rnacentral:rRNA from 1 species